AUCUUCAUGAGGUGUAAUGGCGCCGGGAUGCGCUCUCCUCUUCUCAUUUGCCAAUUUAUUGCAGAUCCCUCCUCGAAAAAGUUUUGGGACUAACUCAGCCCCAUGGAGAUCAAGGUGGGUGGGUGACUUCUAGAAGAGGAAAAUCAAGAAGAUUUGGAGAAGGAGUCUUGGAAGCUCUGGUGAAGUUUUCCAAAACUGGGAAGGACAGAGCCACAGGUCUGCCUGUUCUUUUGCUUUGUCAUUUGUGUGGAUACCUAGUAGAGCAAUUUGGGUGCCAUUCUUUGAGGAAUCCAUUGGAUCUGUCAGAAAGCUGAGUCUGCUCAGCCUGUGUUAGUGGAGAAGAGGGAAGGAAACUGGCUGGAGGCCGCUGGACCCACAGAGGACAAUAGACAAUCUCCUGCUGAUGCCCACUGGAUCCAAAGAGAGAAACUCUAUAGAAUUAUGAUCUAGGUUUGACUGACUCCUGGCAAGAAGCCCUACCCGCCAGCCAAUUUGGAUGAGGUCACAGGGGUCAUCCAUCUUUCCUUCUAUGUGACUGGUUUGCUCUUGCAUAUCAUGUUUUCCGCUCUUAUGCUCCAGAUCCAUCAUGAGAAGAACAUGCCCUGGAUUCCUGCUAUCCCUUUAGCCAUGGCUCCAAAAUUAACACACACAAGGAAGACCUGAGGUCAAUCCACAGCCUGGAUUCAAGUCACCUAAUACGUAGGAGAAUCAGAGCUACCCAGCCAAACUCAAUCUACGUUAACUGAACCUCAGCUGACCUGCAGAUUUAUGAGUAUGAGAAUAAAGGCUUGUUAAUG
rnacentral:sRNA from 1 species